rnacentral:rRNA from 1 species
UAGGGAAUAUUGCACAAUGGGCGCAAGCCUGAUGCAGCGAUGCCGCGUGAGUGAGGAAGGCCUUCGGGUUGUAAAGCUCUGUCCUGAGGGAAAAAUAGCAAUAGAGUGAAUAAUAUAUUGUUUGAUGGUACCUUGGAAGAAAGCACCGGCUAACUUCGUGCCAGCAGCCGCGGUAAUACGAAGGGUGCAAGCGUUGUUCGGAUUUAUUGGGCGUAAAGGGCGCGUAGGCGGAUCUUUAAGUCAGAUGUGAAAUGUCUGGGCUCAACCCAGAAAGUGCGUCUGAAACUGGAGAUCUAGGAUACUGGAGAGGAAAGCGGAAUUUCGCAUGUAGGAGUAAAAUCCGUAGAGAUGCGAAGGAACACCGGAGGCGAAGGCGGCUUUCUGGCCGGUAAUCGACGCU